rnacentral:rRNA from 1 species
GGCUAACGCUGGCGGCGUGUCUUAGCCAUGCAAGUCGAGCGGACUUAUGGGGUAACUUAUAAGUCAGCGGCGGGCGGCGGAGUAACACGUAGCUAACCUACCCUCUGGACGGGGAUAACCUACCGAAAGGUGGGCUAAUACCCGAUGUAGUCAUCCUGUAUAGGGGUGAUGAAAGGUGGGCUUCUGUUUACAAGCUCAUGCUGGAGGAGGGGGCUGCGGCCUAUCAGGUAGUUGGUAGGGUAAUAGCCUACCAAGCCGAUGACGGGUAGCCGGCCUGAGAGGGUGAACGGCCACAAGGGGACUGAGAUACGGCCCUUACUCUUACGGGAGGCAGCAGUGGGGAAUAUUGGACAAUGGAGGAAACUCUGAUCCAGCAAUUCUGUGUGCACGAUGAAGGUUUUCGGAUCGUAAAGUGCUUUCAGUAGGGAAGAAGAAAGUGACGGUACCUACAGAAGAAGCGAACGGCUAAAUACGUAGCCAAGCAGCCGCGGUAAAGCUACGUAGA